rnacentral:rRNA from 1 species
UACAGAGGUCCCAAGCGUUGUUCGGAUUCACUGGGCGUAAAGCGUGCGUAGGCGGUUUGAUAAGUCGGGUGUGAAAGCCCCGGGCUUAACCUGGGAAUUGCAUUCGAUACUGUCUGACUCGAGUCUGGGAGAGGGAAGCGGAAUUCCGGGUGUAGCGGUGAAAUGCGUAGAUAUCCGGAGGAACAUCAGUGGCGAAGGCGGCUUCCUGGACCGACACUGACGCUGAGGCGCGAAAGCUAGGGGAGCAAACGGG